GCCAGCAGCCGCGGUAAUACGGAGGGUGCAAGCGUUAUCCGGAUUUAUUAGGUUUAAAGGGUUCGCAGGCGGAAUUUUAAGUCAGUGGUGAAAGCCUACAGCUCAACCGUAGAACUGCCAUUGAAACUGAUAUUCUUGAGUAUAGAUGAAGUGGGCGGAAUAUGUCAUGUAGCGGUGAAAUGCAUAGAUAUGACAUGGAACACCAAUUGCGAAGGCAGCUCACUAAACUAUUACUGACGCUCAUGAACGAAAGCGUGGGGAGCAAACAGGAUUAGAUACCCUGGUAGUCCACGCCGUAAACUAUGAUCACUAGAUGUUGGCGAUAUAUUGUCAGUGUUUUAGAGCAAUCGUUAAGUGAUCCACCUGGGGAGUACGUUCGCAAGAAUGAAACUCAAAGGAAUUGACGGGGGCCCGCACAAGCGGAGGAGCAUGUGGUUUAAUUCGAUGAUACGCGAGGAACCUUACCAAGACUUAAAUGUAUUUUGACAGGUUGAGAAAUCAACUUUUCUUCGGACAAUUUACAAGGUGCUGCAUGGUUGUCGUCAGCUCGUGCCGUGAGGUGUCGGGUUAAGUCCCAUAACGAGCGCAACCCCUAUUUUUAGUUACCAGCGAGUCAUGUCGGGAACUCUAGAAAGACUGCCUGUGUAAACAGUGAGGAAGGUGGGGAUGACGUCAAAUCAUCACGGCCCUUAUGUCUUGGGCUACACACGUGCUACAAUGGUCACUACAGUGGGCUGCCAUCUGGCAACAGAGAGCAAAUCCAUAAAGGUGAUCCCAGUUCGGAUCGGAGUCUGCAACUCGACUCUGUGAAGUUGGAUUCGCUAGUAAUC
rnacentral:rRNA from 1 species